rnacentral:rRNA from 1 species
UACGAAGGGGGCUAGCGUUGCUCGGAAUUACUGGGCGUAAAGCGCACGUAGGCGGCUUCUUAAGUCGGUGGUGAAAUCCUGGAGCUCAACUCCAGAACUGCCUUCGAUACUGGGAGCUCGAGUCCGGGAGAGGUGAGUGGAACUGCGAGUGUAGAGGUGAAAUUCGUAGAUAUUCGCAAGAACACCAGUGGCGAAGGCGGCUCACUGGCCCGGUACUGACGCUGAGGUGCGAAAGCGUGGGGAUCAAACAGGG